ACCAGAUUCCUUCGGGAGGCAGCAGUAAGGAAUAUUGGUCAAUGGGCGGAAGCCUGAACCAGCCAUGCCGCGUGCAGGAUGACUGCCCUAUGGGUUGUAAACUGCUUUUGUCCAGGAAUAAACCUCUUUACGUGUAGAGAGCUGAAUGUACUGGAAGAAUAAGGAUCGGCUAACUCCGUGCCAGCAGCCGCGGUAAUACGGAGGAUCCGAGCGUUAUCCGGAUUUAUCGGGUUUAAAGGGUGCGUAGGCGGCCUAUUAAGUCAGGGGUGAAAUACGGUGGCUCAACCAUCGCAGUGCCUUUGAUACUGAUGGGCUUGAAUCCAUUUGAAGUGGGCGGAAUAAGACAAGUAGCGGUGAAAUGCAUAGAUAUGUCUUAGAACUCCGAUUGCGAAGGCAGCUCACUAAGCUGGUAUUGACGCUGAUGCACGAAAGCGUGGGGAUCGAACAGGAUUAGAUACCCUGGUAGUCCACGCCCUAAACGAUGAUAACUCGAUGUUGGCGAUAGACAGCCAGCGUCCCAGCGAAAGCGUUAAGUUAUCCACCUGGGGAGUACGCCCGCAAGGGUGAAACUCAAAGGAAUUGACGGGGGCCCGCACAAGCGGAGGAGCAUGUGGUUUAAUUCGAUGAUACGCGAGGAACCUUACCCGGGCUUGAAAGUUAGUGAAGGAUGCAGAGACGCAUCCGUCCUUCGGGACACGAAACUAGGUGCUGCAUGUCUGUCGUCAGCUCGUGCCGUGAGGUGUUGGGUUAAGUCCCGCAACGAGCGCAACCCCUAUGUUUAGUUGCCAGCAUGUCAUGGUGGGGACUCUAAACAGACUGCCUGUGCAAACAGAGAGGAAGGUGGGGACGACGUCAAGUCAUCAUGGCCCUUACGUCCGGGGCUACACACGUGCUGCAAUGGAUGGUACAGCGGGCAGCUACAUAGCAAUAUGAUGCUAAUCUCUAAAAGCCAUUCACAGUUCGAAUUGGGGUCUGCAACUCGACCCCAUGAAGUUGGAUUCGCUAGUAAUCGCGUAUCAGCAAUGACGCGGUGAAUACGUUCCCGGGCCUUGUACACACCGCCCGUCAAGCCAUGAAAGUUGGGGGUACCUAAAGCAUGUUACCGCAAGGAGCGUGUUAGGGUAAAACCGAUAAUUGGGGCUAAGUCGUAACAAGGUAA
rnacentral:rRNA from 1 species